UCUCCCAUAGCUCAGUCGGUAGAGCGACGGACUGUUAAUCCGCAGGUCCCCGGUUCGAGCCCGUGUGGGAGAGCCA
rnacentral:tRNA from 1 species